GACGAACGCUGGCGGCGUGCUUAACACAUGCAAGUCGAGCGGAAAGGCCCUUCGGGGUACUCGAGCGGCGAACGGGUGAGUAACACGUGAGUAACCUGCCCCAGACUUUGGGAUAACCCUCGGAAACGGGGGCUAAUACCGGAUACGACACAGCUUCGCAUGGGGUCUGUGUGGAAAGUUUUUCGGUUUGGGAUGGGCCCGCGGCCUAUCAGCUUGUUGGUGGGGUGAUGGCCUACCAAGGCGACGACGGGUAGCCGGCCUGAGAGGGCGACCGGCCACACUGGGACUGAGACACGGCCCAGACUCCUACGGGAGGCAGCAGUGGGGAAUAUUGCACAAUGGGCGGAAGCCUGAUGCAGCGACGCCGCGUGAGGGAUGACGGCCUUCGGGUUGUAAACCUCUUUCAGCAGGGACGAAGCGUAAGUGACGGUACCUGCAGAAGAAGCGCCGGCCAACUACGUG
rnacentral:rRNA from 1 species